rnacentral:rRNA from 1 species
UACAGAGGUCCCAAGCGUUGUUCGGAUUCACUGGGCGUAAAGGGUGCGUAGGUGGUGAGGUAAGUUUGAUGUGAAAUCUCCGGGCUCAACCCGGAAAUGGCAUUGAAUACUAUCUUGCUAGAGGAGUGGAGGGGGGACUGGAAUACUUGGUGUAGCAGUGAAAUGCGUAGAUAUCAAGUGGAACACCAGUGGCGAAGGCGAGUCCCUGGACACUUCCUGACACUGAGGCACGAAAGCUAGGGGAGCGAACCGG